UAUAAUUAGAGUUCUUCAUUUAUAAUUUAUCAUCUGAAUUUUGUGUUAUUCUUGAAUACGAUAUUUACAUUUUGCGAUCUGUCCAUACAAGGCGACAAAGAUCUAUUUUUAUAUGAAUCAUGCAUGCAUGGUUCGUUUCCAUUAUUUACAAAGCUCGAUGUUUAUUCUCCCCCGUUGUUUGCAUUGGCGAUCUUAGUCAAUUCUGAUUGCUAACAUCUUAAAGUUUCAUUUUUAAUAUUCAUCAAUUCUCGCGGUACAACAUAUAUACAUGCACAUGUAGCAUUUGUAAGUGGGGAUUAAUUAAGUGUUACAGCUAUAUCGGUGAUCAACUUUUACAUGCAUUGACAAAGCAGAGUAAAUGUUCUAUGUAUGGACAAAUUUUCAUAUGACAAGUGAUCUGUUUCGUUUUUUUACUGCCACGAGUAGCAAUCAAGAGUACUGGUUAGCACUAUAUCAACGUUUCUGUGAUCAUAUACAGAGUAUAGGAACUUUGCAUGGCUGCAAAUAAAUAUUUGACUUGACAGGACAUUUGUCCGAUCACUUUAAAUUUUGGUCGGACAUAACUUGAAUUUGGUCGGACAAAAACCAACAUCACUAAAUUUGAUCGGACACAUAUACGUCACAAGAUAUAUAUAAGUCACGAGACAAGUAUGUAUAUGCGAUUCCGGCGCAACGUUAAGUAAAAUUAAAUGCUAGAACGCCGCGUAAAUUUUAUUGCAAAAUGCAAAUUGAGUGAAUUGGCAAUCGGAUUUUGUCACAGCAAAAAAAUGUAUAAUGUGACAUUUUUUUGCGAUCGGACCAAUGUCCGAUCAAAAUUACUUUUGCUCGGACAUUUGCCAAAUUUAGUCGGACAUUGUCCGAUGUCCGACAGUAAUUUGCA
rnacentral:lncRNA from 1 species